GAUGAACGCUGGCGGCGUGCCUAAUACAUGCAAGUCGAGCGAACGGACGAGAAGCUUGCUUCUCUGAUGUUAGCGGCGGACGGGUGAGUAACACGUGGAUAACCUACCUAUAAGACUGGGAUAACUUCGGGAAACCGGAGCUAAUACCGGAUGAUAUUUUGAACCGCAUGGUUCAAAAGUGAAAGACGGUCUUGCUGUCACUUAUAGAUGGAUCCGCGCUGCAUUAGCUAGUUGGUAAGGUAACGGCUUACCAAGGCAACGAUGCAUAGCCGACCUGAGAGGGUGAUCGGCCACACUGGAACUGAGACACGGUCCAGACUCCUACGGGAGGCAGCAGUAGGGAAUCUUCCGCAAUGGGCGAAAGCCUGACGGAGCAACGCCGCGUGAGUGAUGAAGGUCUUCGGAUCGUAAAACUCUGUUAUUAGGGAAGAACAUAUGUGUAAGUAACUGUGCACAUCUUGACGGUACCUAAUCAGAAAGCCACGGCUAACUACGUGCCAGCAGCCGCGGUAAUACGCAGGUGGCAAGCGUUAUCCGGAAUUAUUGGGCGUAAAGCGCGCGUAGGCGGUUUUUUAAGUCUGAUGUGAAAGCCCACGGCUCAACCGUGGAGGGUCAUUGGAAACUGGAAAACUUGAGUGCAGAAGAGGAAAGUGGAAUUCCAUGUGUAGCGGUGAAAUGCGCAGAGAUAUGGAGGAACACCAGUGGCGAAGGCGACUUUCUGGUCUGUAACUGACGCUGAUGUGCGAAAGCGUGGGGAUCAAACAGGAUUAGAUACCCUGGUAGUCCACGCCGUAAACGAUGAGUGCUAAGUGUUAGGGGGGUUUCCGCCCCUUAGUGCUGCAGCUAACGCAUUAAGCACUCCGCCUGGGGAGUACGACCGCAAGGGUGAAACUCAAAGGAAUUGACGGGGACCCGCACAAGCGGUGGAGCAUGUGGUUUAAUUGGAAGCAACGCGAAGAACCUUACCAAAUCUUGACAUCCUUUGACAACUCUAGAGAUAGAGCCUUCCCCUUCGGGGGACAAAGUGACAGGUGGUGCAUGGUUGUCGUCAGCUCGUGUCGUGAGAUGUUGGGUUAAGUCCCGCAACGAGCGCAACCCUUAAGCUUAGUUGCCAUCAUUAAGUUGGGCACUCUAAGUUGACUGCCGGUGACAAACCGGAGGAAGGUGGGGAUGACGUCAAAUCAUCAUGCCCCUUAUGAUUUGGGCUACACACGUGCUACAAUGGACAAUACAAAGGGCAGCGAAACCGCGAGGUCAAGCAAAUCCCAUAAAGUUGUUCUCAGUUCGGAUUGUAGUCUGCAACUCGACUACAUGAAGCUGGAAUCGCUAGUAAUCGUAGAUCAGCAUGCUACGGUGAAUACGUUCCCGGGUCU
rnacentral:rRNA from 1 species